UGAACUCAGGACCUCUGGAAGAGCAGA
rnacentral:piRNA from 2 species